CUAAGUGAUGACAAUAAAUACCAAUCUAGGAAUUCCUCUUACCGAAGAUCAUAUGUGGAAACUCUAUUCUUGUUUCAGCCUUGUCUGAUA
rnacentral:snoRNA from 1 species